UAUCAGUAGUUUAUUUUUACACAUGCCAAAAAUACACAUUAUACGAAUAGGAUUAAGUAAAAAAAGAAAAAAAUGCAUUUUAGUGUGAAGGAAGACGCGAUAAACCAGUAAUGGUUAUCGAGCAGCGUCACCUACAAGGAAGUCUAACAUCAAAUUUUAUAAAGGAAUAAAAAGACGAACAUUAAAUACUAAGAGAAUACGAAAAUAGAAUAUAUUCAGGCGACCCGAAUAUCCGAGUCUCGUUCAUAACGAAGGAAGCAAGCGACUCCAGUCACAACAGGCGGGGUAACCAUGUCAACCGCGUUUUAUUAGAUAUCAGAGUGAUAAACCAUAGCAUUAUGAGGUAACUGUGGAUAAACGGGCUAAGAAACCUCGCUUGUCAGCUGCAGUAAGGGCCAUUGUUUUGGGGGUAGUACCUCAUUCGGAAGACAUUAAUAACAAACAAUAUUAUUGGAAUCAGGUUCCGAAAGGGGUUUUCAAAUCUAUACCGGUACGGUACCGUACCGGUACCUACUCAUGGAACUCUACAGUGGCCUGAUGACUGGGUGCUGGUGGCAAAUUCAUACAUGAACAGAAAAAGAGAUCAACUUAAAAAGUGCAGAAAAUUGAUUAUUAAAAGUAUCAAGUCAAUCAAUUCGAGAGGCUGUGGAUCAGAUCAAGCAAUCCUGGCAAUGGCAAAGAGGAAAGCUGACAGCACAUCAACUCUAGGUGCUGGCAGGUGACAGGGCUAUAAUUUUGGAAAUUUGCUAUUCUAAGCUGUUUUAACCGAGCCUAGUUCUGUCUAUCUAUUCUACCACAAUCUUAUUUGCUGCACUUAUUAUCGCAAAAUCUUAGACACGGAAUGCACAUUGGAGGUAUAUGGAGUCGGGCAAUCAUUGCUUCGUUCAUCUGAUCUGUCUUACAUCGCGUCAAGAUACAAAAUGGACGAUUGUCAAUAGUCGGCUGCACUCUUUCGCUGAUUCUAUGGAUCUGACCGACAAACAAACAAUGUUGUUAUCACAGGAUUGCAUUGGAAUAUUUAUGUAUCUUCCUAACUAUCAGUGGUUCAUAAUUUAUUUGAAAUAGAUUGAAAUGUAUGUUCAUGUUAUUUUAUUUGCCUCGAAAAGCAAUGAAAAACAAUCUAAAAUGAAGAUAGGAGAAGCUCACUUAACGGGAGAAAUCUAAA